rnacentral:rRNA from 1 species
UACGUAGGGUGCGAGCGUUGUCCGGAAUUAUUGGGCGUAAAGAGCUCGUAGGCGGUUUGUCGCGUCGACUGUGAAAACCUGGGGCUUAACUCUGGGCCUGCAGUCGAUACGGGCAGACUUGAGUUCGGUAGGGGAGACUGGAAUUCCUGGUGUAGCGGUGAAAUGCGCAGAUAUCAGGAGGAACACCGGUGGCGAAGGCGGAUCUCUGGGCCUUACCUGACGCUGAGGCGCGAAAGCUAGGGGAGCGAACAGG